rnacentral:rRNA from 1 species
UAGUCCACACCGUAAACGAUGAAUGCCAGUCGUCGGGUUGCAUGCAAUUCGGUGACACACCUAACGGAUUAAGCAUUCCGCCUGGGGAGUACGGUCGCAAGAUUAAAACUCAAAGGAAUUGACGGGGGCCCGCACAAGCGGUGGAGCAUGUGGAUUAAUUCGAAGCAACGCGCAGAACCUUACCAACCCUUGACAUGCCUGUUUCGGGAUCUGGAGACAGAUCCUUUCAGUUCGGCUGGACAGUGCACAGGUGCUGCAUGGCUGUCGUCGACUCGUGUCGUGAGAUGUUCGGUUAAGUCCGGCAACGAGCGCAACCCACGUCCCUAGUUGCCAGCAUUCAGUUGGGCACUCUAUGGAAACCGCCGGUGAUAAGCCGGAGGAAGGUGUGGUAUGACGUCAAGUCCUCAUGGCCCUUAUGGGUUGGGCUACACACGUGCUACAAUGGUAGUGACAAUGGGUUAAUCCCCAAAAGCUAUCUCAGUUCGGAUUGCUCU